rnacentral:rRNA from 1 species
UACGGAGGGUGCGAGCGUUGUCCGGAAUCAUUGGGCGUAAAGGGCGCGUAGGUGGCCCGGUCAGUCCGUGGUGAAAGCGCGGGGCUCAACCCCGCGUCGGCCAUGGAUACUGCUGGGCUGGAGCACUGUAGAGGCAGGCGGAAUUCCGGGUGUAGCGGUGGAAUGCGUAGAGAUCCGGAAGAACACCGGUGGCGAAGGCGGCCUGCUGGGCAGUUGCUGACACUGAGGCGCGACAGCGUGGGGGAGCAAACAGGG